CCUACGGGUGGCAGCAGUGAGGAAUAUUGGUCAAUGGGCGCGAGCCUGAACCAGCCAAGUAGCGUGAAGGAUGAAUGCCCUACGGGUUGUAAACUUCUUUUAUAAAGGAAUAAAGUGAGGCACGUGUGCCUUUUUGUAUGUACUUUAUGAAUAAGGAUCGGCUAACUCCGUGCCAGCAGCCGAGGUAAUACGGAGGAUCCGAGCGUUCUCCGGCUUUAUUGGGUUUACAGGGAGCGUAGAGGGGUUGUUAAGUCAGUUGUGAAAGUUUGCGGCUAAACCGUAAAAUUGCAAUUGAUACUGGCAGUCUUGAUUACAGUUGAGGUAGGCGGAAUUCGUGGUGUAGCGG
rnacentral:rRNA from 1 species